CUUCGCUUAUUGAUUGAGCUCCAGUCAAAUUCAAUCGCAAGUGAAAAUGGAUUUUUUAAUGCGACUAUUAGCUGCUUUGGAGACGCAAAUUGAGUUCAGUCAGACGGAGGAGGCCGCCAUCAAAAAACAAUUUGCAGUCUGAGGCCCAGGGUGGGAUACAGGGGUAGGAGAGAGAGAGAGAGAGAGAGAGAGAGAGAGAGAGAGAGAGAGAGAGAGAGAGAGAGAGAGAGAGAGAGAAAGAAAGUCCAGGGGGUUCCCAGUUCCUAAUUCUCAAAAACCCAGAGCCAAAGCAGACCCAGGAUCUAGACUGAGGUUGCUGGGGCAGAGCCAACUGAAUUGAUGGGGGAUAUCAAACAUAGGAGGAUCUGGUGGAUCCUGGGAUAGAAAGAAGGAUGAAGGAUGCUAGAGAGAGAAAGGAAAAGGGGUUCAAAGGAAUCUGAUGGGGGGGAGGGACUCUAGAGCACAGAAAGACUAGGGAAAAGAGAGGGAGUCAAGGGGAGAAGGGAGUACUAGACGAAAUCAACCUAGGAUUGAGGACUAGCAAGACAGGAAUAACAGAAAGACAAGAAAGCAAAUCAAGGAUGUCUGUAGGACAGUGCCCUAUUGAACUGGUUAGUUAUGGUGUCUCUGCUGUGGAAGGAGGAACAGGAAAGAGAAAAGAGGAGAUGGAAUUGUCCAGGGUCCUGGGCUAUUCGAGGUCUCUCAGGACAAGUUUUUAUGCUCAGACUGUCCAGAAAUUUCUCUUUGAUACAACCCAUCAAGAUUCUUGAAAUGCUACCAUUGAGGAAUCAUUCCGGAGUUCCCCUGUUGAUAGGCAGAAGGGUCUAGAAGGGGAGAAAAGCCAUCAGCCUGGACAUCCAACCAUAAUGUGAAAUCCUUUAUCUGAGACUAUCAACCACAGCCCCUGGGAACAGAGGGAACAAUGAGGUUCAGUUGGGGAGAUGUGGGACAGCAGAGGAGAGAGCAGAGGGACAGAGGGCGGCACUGGUGGAAGGAAGGGAGCUAGUGAGAUUCUAGAAGGGUCUGAGAGGAUAAUGAAGAGGAGGACAGUGUACCAUGAAAGAAUGGGACACUGUGGGCAGCAGGACCAGGGCAAGAGCUGUGAGACAAGGGGAGAAGAAACUGAUUAAGGGAGAUGAGAAGUCAAGGACAAACCACCAAUUUCACCAUUUUGCUGUGCAUCUGGGGUGGGAAGAAGGACUAGAUAAGAAAGCAGGACCCCGGGUUAGGGGAGAGUGAGCUGGGAUGGCUUUUGAAGGGGAGGCAGAGGGCUGGACUGCAAAGACUGGGGGGGGUGAGUUUGGGUGGGUGAGGGAGCAGAAGGCUGGCCUGGCGAUACUGCCAGGGAAGGGCACCCAGAUUUCCCAAACAAAGCUUGUGCUGGGGAAGGGCAAUAGGCUACCCUCUUAAGAGUCGUACCGGAAGCCCUGGUCUGAGAUGAAGAAACUUAGAACUGUUUAAGUGAGUUGCCUGGGAUAACACAGCUAGCUGUCAGGCAGAAUUUGAACUCAGGGCUCCUGACACCAACUCCACCGUGCAAUCCAUUCUACCAACUAGUUACAGCCGGAGAGAAAUGUGUUCUGGGGCUUUUCUGUUUCUGCAAUCAAAAUAAUUCCUAGGGGACACCAGUACGGCAAUGUGGUACAUGGGGGAGAAGGAGGGGAAAGGCGAUUGCUGGAUUUGGAACCAGAAGCCCCAGAUUCAAGUCUGUCCUCUGCUCCUUCCUCCUUGUUUGACUACAGGCAAGUGUCUAUUCCUCAACCAAUAAAGUGUGGGGCUGGAUUAGAUUCGAGGACCUCUGAAGGUCCCUUCCAGCUCUCAAUCUGUGAAGCCACAAGACACCUGCUUAGAACUCUGCUCUCUUUUUCCUCCAGUGACAGUUUGUAGGGGAUUCUAACAAACGGAUCCCUGCUGGGGUGUUAAUGGGUGUUUGACGGUUUCCUGUGUCACCCCCUCCCAGGUGACACAUGUGCAUUUUUAGCAGGGGCUUCCCAGGGACCACGAAUGCCUUCACCUAAGGGAAUUAAUUAGUAUGUAUGAAGCACCUAUCGCAACUCAAAGGAGCUAGUCACUGAGGGCUAUGCAAAGAAGAAGGCAUGAGCCUUCCUUCUCUGGGAGAGGCUCUAUUGGUAGGGGAACCCAAUCCUUGAACCCCUAAAAAUGCCUAUUGCAUACUAGAGACACAGUCAUUCAGCCCUCCGAGUGGAACCGCCCCUUGUCAGAGCUACACAAUCCUGGAGCCAGAGACCCGGCUCAUUUGUAAGCAAGUGGCUUGGCUGACCUAUGACUAACCCUCCCACUAACUACCAUCCCGGGGCCAGCGUACCGGCUGACUCAACGAUUGACUGACUCAAUGACUGACUGAUGAUGGCACGACCGGCUGACUGAUGACCUGCUCGGCUGUCAGGCUGAUUGACGUCCAUCCUGAAGAAGGGGCCCCUGCCGAAAGGUUUCUACCACUGGAGGGGGUUGGCCGUCUCCACCCUUUAUGGGCUUCCCCUUCUCCCCUCCUUCCUUUCUCCCUCCCCUGCAAUUCUGCAGAAUCUUUCUCUAACUGAAAACCCAAGAGCCUGGAAGAAUAGAAUCAGAUGAGCUAAGGAAGCUAAUUAAGGGUCUCAUUUACAUAUGCCGGUCCCUCCCCCUUGGCACACCCCUUAUUGUAUGCUGACAGUUACCUUAGCAACCAGACCCUAAAGACUCGCAGCUCCUCCAGGCUCCUCCCCUUUCUGUUCUGCCUGAAUGCUUCCAUCCACCCCAGACUAUCAGGGGAAGCAGGAAGCUUCCUGCUAGUCCAACCUCCCCAUUUGACAGAUGAGGAAACUGAGGACCGGAGAGAAGUGACUUGACAAUUAUGGAGUUACAUUUACAUAGCAAAUAUAAGUACUCUGAAGCCUAACUCAAAUGCUGCCUCCUCCAUGAAGCCUUCCAUGAUUCUUCCCCGUUGAUGAGUCUGGCAUCAGCCUUUGCUGUGUAUCUCUGUAAUGAAUUUAUCAUACUAUUGUUCAGCUGUGUCUGACUCUUUGUGAUACUAUUUGGGCUUUUCAUGGCAAAGAAAGGAGUGGUUUGCCAUUUUCUUCUCCCGUUUAUUUUACAGAUGAAGAAACUGAGACAAAUGGGGUUAAGUGACUUGUCCAGGGUCACACAGCUAGACUAUGUCUGAGGUCACAUUUGAACUCAGGAAGAUGAAUAGGUCUUCCUGAGUCCAAAUCCAGCACUCUAUGCACUGUGGCACCAUCUAGCUGCCCCAUAUUUAUCAAGUAUCAAUAUGAGUUUAGAAUUAUGUGUUUGUGCCUUAUCACCCAACUACUGGCAGCCAGAGAAGGGGAUACUUUGGUGUGGAAGUAGCCUUCAUUCAAAGAGUAACUGGGGCUUUGGCAGAGAAGUUGGCACAUGCAAUCCAGGGACAAUGGCAGAGUUGAUCUGAUUCAGAAUUGGAGGAGAGGAAAGGGUAAGGAGACUAUUGAGGAAGUUCUUGGAUAAAAGGAACUGGAGUGAAAUGGAACUUUCCUGAAAAUGUUCUGAGAUAAGU